UGGGGAAUAUUGGACAAUGGGCGCAAGCCUGAUCCAGCAAUGCCGCGUGUGUGAAGAAGGUCUUCGGAUUGUAAAGCACUUUCGGCGGGGACGAUGAUGACGGUACCCGCAGAAGAAGCCCCGGCUAACUUCGUGCCAGCAGCCGCGGUAAUACGAAGGGGGCGAGCGUUGCUCGGAAUGACUGGGCGUAAAGGGCGCGUAGGUGGUGAUGACAGUCAGGCGUGAAAUUCCUGGGCUCAACCUGGGGGCUGCGCUUGAUACGUGAUGACUAGAGUGUGGAAGAGGGUCGUGGAAUUCCCAGUGUAGAGGUGAAAUUCGUAGAUAUUGGGAAGAACACCGGUGGCGAAGGCGGCGACCUGGUCCAUUACUGACGCUGAGGCGCGAAAGCGUGGGGAGCAAACA
rnacentral:rRNA from 1 species